UACCAGCACCCCGAGUGGUCGGUGCGAUUAUUGGGCCUAAAGCAUCCGUAGCCGGUUUUACAAGUCCCCCGUUAAAUCCAGCUGCUUAACAGAUGGGCUGCGGAGGAUACUAUAAGACUAGGAGGCAGGAGAGGCAAGCGGUACUCAGUGGGUAGGGGUAAAAUCCGUUGAUCCAUUGAAGACCACCAGUGGCGAAGGCGGCUUGCCAGAAUGCGCUCGACGGUGAGGGAUGAAAGCUGGGGGAGCAAACCGG
rnacentral:rRNA from 1 species